CUGUCCGCCAACCGUGGUCCGUGGAAGUAACGUUUUCGUUUACACGGGGUCCUACGAGAGCGACGCGACGAACCCUAUUCUGAAUUUCUGACCAUGCUGUUCCUACAGACGCGAUGCGGCAAAAUAUGAGUUGUUAUGAUUUUCGCCGCGUUGAGUUCGCUCACGUAGGACCGUAUAUAAGUAUGUAGGACUCAGUGUUAUACGUAUUAAUGUAUUAUACGGCCAGUCGGGUAAACAAAGGUCUAACAUCAUGUCGGCGCGCCUUUUCGCAUGUUAUUGUCGUAUUUUGUAGCGAGUUUUGCGAAACGUUUUUCCAAGUGCCAACUCACGUACCACGAAGUACGAGCUUUUUUUAUACGAACGACGACUCUAUUUCGCAGCUCGAACUUUACGCCAACUCAACGUUUUUUGCUGUCGCUGCUUAAAACUUUUACCAUACUCAGACAUAUCGCCGACCCGGUUCGUGCUGUAUUGCAGUGAUCGAAGAUUUUCAAGAUGAAAAAUUCGAUACGUAUCGAUACCAAAUAGUUAAGUACAUACCGACAGGAAUAGUUAAGUACCGACUGGUAUCGAAGUCUGAGUCCGUUAUCUUGAUCGCAUCUCGUCCUAAAACUUUGACCAUGGCUCAUACCGCCAACUCAGUUCCCAAUGUCCGUCGCUAACCGGCAUUCAUCGUUCACUCAUUCACAGUAAUUGUCAUGGUUGUGAUACCUAUUUAAUUUGUCUUGAUAUAACCACAGGAUAGAUGAGUAGAAAAAAUAGAUUCUGUGGUGGUAUGUCUGUGGCAUUUAAGUCAUUGAGAUUGAGUUUGGAUAUCUGAAAUGGUCAGGCGUACAUUAUAAUACCAAUCAUGGUCGGACACAGCGUUUAAAAUACCUCACUUACUGAAAGGUUCAUUGCUCGGGUUAGACAAAUAGAAAGAGAAUUGUAGAAAACCAAGAAAUCAACUUUACACUUCUAUACAGAUAACGACAAUGAAGAACAAGAUGUUUAAGAGACAAUUUUAAAAAGCAAUCUAAAACAUACAAUCAAAAGCCAUAAUAGAUAGACAUUAUCGAUCUACUCUUGAAGAAAUUGCAACAUACGCUGGAGAGUUAUCAAAACAAGAAAAAUUGAAAAAACCAUUUAACUACCUAUAGUGUACAUUAUUCAACUUCAGAUUCUUAAAAUAAGUGGAAUCGUUAUCGUUUGAGGAGGAGUAGUAACUAGUAACAAAAGUGAUAAAUGAUACCAGAAAAAUGAACCAUAUUAUCAUAAAAACAAGAAAAAGUGAUACCUAACCGUGAUCAUCGAUCCAGUAGAACCCCAUCUAUUAGAAAUAAAGAUGAACCUUCAACUCCUAAUGUCAGACUUCGAGAUAUACCAAUUAGAACUACUUGAGAUGAAGAUAAUCAAAAUAUGUCUUAAUAUAAAUCUACUUGGGACAUGCCCACCCAUAUUAAGUAUUGAUGAUGAUCCUACUAAAACACCAAGAUUUACGCCAGCGUAUAAGUAAAACAAGUAGGAUAGUAAUCGUGUUUUAGGAGCUACACCUAAUCCUGGAAAAGAAAAUGUUCUAUUGUGGGCUAGUGAAACUGAUAGUGAUGAAUGGAAAGAAGCCCAAAACCGAUUAGACUGGCGGUGGUAUAAUUUAGAUGAUGGAGUUGAUGAAACUAAAAAUCCAUUUUGUGAUGUCAGUGAAUCAUAUGCCAACAAAUAAAACAGUUGAUGGAAUUAAAUUUGUUGUUGAUACUGGUUAUUGUAAAAUGAAAGUUUAUAAACUGGUGUGAAUGCAUUGCAAAUUUAUCCUAUCAGUCAAGCAAAUGCUAAUCAAUGAAGUGGUAUUGCUAGUCAUAUAGAAGGCAAUUUUUCCGAUUCUACACCAAAAAACAAUACAUAGACAAUUUACCAAUGAGUACAGUUCCUGAAAUCCUAAGAACCAAUCUAGAGCUAACACCGUGAAAUCAUUAAGAAUUCAAGACUUACUCCAGUUUCAUUUUAUGGACCCUCCAG